GACGAACGCUGGCGGCGUGCUUAACACAUGCAAGUCGAACGGAAAGGCCCUGCUUUUGUGGGGUGCUCGAGUGGCGGACGGGGGAGUAACACGUGAGUAACCUGCCCCUGACUGUGGGAUAACUUCAGGAAACUGGGGCUAAUACCGGGGAGGAGCUCCUGCAGCAUGGUGGGGGUUGGAAAGUGUCGGCGGUUGUGGCUGGACUCGCGGCUUAUCAGCUUGUUGGUGGAGUAGUGGCUUACCAAGGCUUUGACGGGUAGCCGGCCUGAGAGGGUGACCGGCCACCUUGGUCCUGCGAUACGGCCCAGUCUCCUACGGGACGCAGCAGUGGGGAAUAUUGCGGAAUGGGGGGAAGCCUGAUGCGGCGACCCCGCGUGCGUGAUGCCGGCUUUCGGGUUGUAAACCGCUUUCGCCUGUGACGAAGCGUGAGUGACGGUAAUGGGUAAAGAAGCACCGGCUAACUACGUG
rnacentral:rRNA from 1 species